CUGAAAGUAUCGCUAGGCUUUAA
rnacentral:miRNA from 10 species